UUGCAAAAAUACACACGACGCUAGUUCCUGUUUCAGCCCGUUUGAAAUAAUUAAUCCACUGAACGACGAUGAAUAUCCAUAUAUGAAAAGGCAUAACGGAGACUGUGUGUGAGGGAGAGAGAGAAUGAUUGAGAAACAAAAUGCCUCAGGGAGAAGUUUAGCGCUCUGAGGUUGAUAGUUCAUCGUUCAGAAGACUCCUGCACCAAAGGAAAUUGAGCAGCGCCGUUUUCGGUUGGGGCUGGGAUCGAAACAUGCAUAUGACGCAUGUGAGUGCACG